rnacentral:rRNA from 1 species
AUAAUACCCCAUAGAUUAUGGAUGCUGGAAUGCUCUGUAGUUGAAAGGUCCGCCGCUUCAGGAUGGGUCUGCGGCCGAUUAGGUUGUUGUUGGGGUAACGGCCCAACAAGCCUGUAAUCGGUACGGGUUGUGGGAGCAAGAGCCCGGAGAUGGAUUCUGAGACACGAAUCCAGGCCCUACGGGGCGCAGCAGGCGCGAAAACUUUACAAUGCGAGCAAUCGUGAUAAGGGAACUCCGAGUGCCUGUAAAAUCAGGCUGUCCGCCAGUGUAAAUAACUGGUGAAGAAAGGGCCGGGCAAGACCGGUGCCAGCCGCCGCGGUAAUACCGGCGGCUCGAGUGGUGGCCACUAUUACUGGGCUUAAAGCGUUCGUAGCUGGUCUGUUAAGUCUCUGGGGAAAUCUUCCGGCUUAACCGGAAGGCGUCUCAGGGAUACUGGCAGACUAGGGACCGGAAGAGGUGAGAGGUACUCCAGGGGUAGGAGUGAAAUCCUGUAAUCCUUGGGGGACCACCUGUGGCGAAGGCGUCUCACCAGGACGGCUCCGACAGUGAGGAACGAAGCUGGGGGAGCAAACCGGAUUAGAUACCCGGGUAGUCCCAGCUGUAAACGAUGCACGUUAGGUGUAUCGGUGACCACGAGUCACCGAGGUGCCGAAGAGAAAUCGUGAAACGUGCCGCCUGGGAAGUACGGUCGCAAGGCUGAAACUUAA